UUAUAAAGAGUCGAAAAGUUCAUCCUCUACGAUCAUUGACAUACUCCAUUAAGUCCAAAAAUCAAUUGUCUCCGGCUGGAUCCGUUCCCGGUCUUCCUAAUCUCACUGAUCAUAAUUAUACCUGAAAAACAUCAAAAAACAACAGCAGAAAAAAUAAUCCAAAAUAGGAGAAUGUCGGGGUAGUUUGGUGGGAUUGAACAAGCUUCCCGUUCAAACGUUAGAAAAUUGAGAAGUGACGUCACAAUACGGUAACGUCACGUGACAGACACGGUCAAAGUUCAGAAUGCAAAUACAAAAG
rnacentral:lncRNA from 1 species